rnacentral:tRNA from 2 species
GUCCGUAUCGAUUAGGGGUUAAAUCACUUCGUUGUGGCUUGUGCUCCGAAGAGCCGCUGGUUCGAUUCCAGCUACGGACA